UUGGGUAAGUGCAUUCGGGUCA
rnacentral:siRNA from 1 species